rnacentral:rRNA from 1 species
UACAGAGACUGCAAGCGUUAUUCGGAUUCACUGGGCGUAAAGGGUGCGCAGGCGGCCAAGUGUGUGAGGUGUGAAAGCCUGGGGCUUAACCCCAGAAUUGCACCUCAAACUACUUGGCUAGAGCAUUGGAGAGGGUAGCAGAAUUCACGGUGUAGCAGUGAAAUGCGUAGAUAUCGUGAGGAAUACCAGAGGCGAAGGCGGCUACCUGGACAAUUGCUGACGCUCAGGCACGAAAGCGUGGGGAGCAAAAGGG